GUAAUGACGCACGCAGUCACGUGACCUAACGCGGGAAGCAUCAAACCCGGUAGUGAGCUGCUUCCGGGAACUUGGGAAGAGCGAGAGGGACACGCUGAGGUUGCCGCGGGUAUGUGACUCGGUUUUGACGCUUUAUUUUAAUUAACUAAGCCUUCUAACUGAAUUGUAGUCAUGUCGAACUGUAGGACCCGACUACCGGAGCCGUGGGAGUGUUUGAGUGUGAUUUAUCUGCGGAAUGAACCAGGUUGGAUGGCGAGCUAGAGUCUGAAGCUUUAUGCCUGGAACCCAACCAACUGAACUGAAUCCACCCAACCGAGGCCCAGGCGGGUAGGAGGCUCCUUAGCAGCCGCCCUGUUUUUUCCUUUGUCUUUACCAAAACGCAACGUGUUCAUUUCGGUCCUCCUGAACUUUGACUUUUCCUCCAUCCCUUCACUAAAACCCCUGUGGACACUGCCACCACAACGUGGACUUUGCGGGGCCGUCUAAUGAACUCUGAACUCGUUGGUAGAAACAAGGACUGAAUCAAGUACUGACAUUGUAAAUUUUGAGCGUUUUGUGAAUUUGUUGAAUGUGUGAAUGGCCAUUUGAAUUUGUUUAUUUUUCCUAUUAUUCUUUAAUAUAAUUUGGUAACAAACUUAAAUCCUGUGUUCAGUUUUCAUUACUCUCCAUUCCUAGAGCUGAAUUUAGUUUCUCCUGAUCUAGCCCUGAUAUAUCAUUCACUGUUUACCUAGUACUUGUACAGUGCUUUACUAGAGUAACAUAUAGGCUAUAUUUGCAAAUGCUUUUCAUCCCAUAUUCAAUUGAAUGCACUACAAAGACAAGAUAUUUGAUGUUGAAACUCAUAUAAACUUUUUUUUUUUUUUUUUGCAAAUAAAAAUUAACUUAGAAUUUCAUGACUGCAACAUGUGCCAAAUUAGUUGGGAAAGGGCAUGUUCACCACUGUGUUACAUCAACUUUUCAUUUAACCACACUCAAUAAACGUUUGGGAACUGAGGAAACUAUUUGUUGAAGCUUUGAAAGUGGAAUUCUUUCCCAUUCUUGUUUUAUGUAGAGCUUCAGUCCUUCAAAAGUCCGGGGUCUCUGCUGUCGUAUUUUACGCUUCAUAAUGCGCCACACAUUUUCCAUGGGAGACAGGUCUGGACUGCAGGCGGGCCAGAAAAGUAACCGCACUCUUUUUUUUUUCUUUUUUUUCACGAAGCCACGCUGUUGUAACACGUGCUGAAUGUGGCUUAGCAUUGUCUUGCUGAAAUAAGCAGGGACCUCAAUGGAAAAAAAAUGGCGCUUGGAUUGCAGCAUAUGUUGUCCCAAAACCUGUAUGUACCUUUCAGCAUUAAUGGUGCCUUCACAGAUGUGUAAGUUACCCAUGCCUUGGGCACUAAUGCACCCCCAUACCAUCACACAUGCUGGCUUUUGAACUUUGCGUCAAUAACAGUCUGGAUGGUUCGCUUCCUCGUUGGGCUGGAUGACACAAUGUAGAAUAUUUCCAAAAACAAUUUGAAACGUGGACUCGUCAGACCACAGAACACUUUUCCACUUUGCAUCAGUCCAUCUUAGAUGAUCUCUGGCCCAGAGAAGCCGGCGGCGUUUCUGGAUGUUGUUGAUAAAUGGCUUUUGCUUUGCAUAGUAGAGCUUUAACUUGCACUUACAGAUGUAGCGACCAACUGUAUUUAGUGACAGUGGUUUGCUAAAGUGUUCCUGAGCCCAUGUGGUGAUAUCCUUUAGAGAUUGAUGUCUGUUUUUGAUACAGUGCUGUCUGAGGGAUCGAAGGUCACGGUCAUUGCUGGCCAUUGCUGCUUACGUGCAGUGAUUUCUCCAGAUUCUCUGAACCUUUUGAUGAUAUUAUGGAGCGUAGAUGUUGAAAUCCCUAAAUUUCUUGCAAUUGCACUUUGAGAAAGGUUGUUCUUAAACUGUUUGACUAUUUGCUCACGCAUUUGUGGACAAAGGUGUGUACCUCGCCCCAUCCUUUCUUGUGAAAGACUGAGCAUUUUUGGGAAGCUCUUUUUAUACCCAAUCAUGGCACCCACCUGUUCCCAAUUAGCCUGCACACCUGUGGGAUUUUCCAAAUAAGUGUUUGGUGAGCAUUCCUCAACUUUAUCAGUAUUUAUUACCACCUUUCCCAACUCCUUUGUCACGUGUUGCUGGCAUCAAAUUCUAAAGUUAAUUAUUAUUUGCAAAAAAAAAUCUUUAUAGAUAGAUAGAUAGUACUUUAUUGAUUCCUUCAGGAGAGUUCCGUCAGGAAAAUUAAAAUUCCAGCAGCAGUGUACAGAGUUGAGAUCAAUUUAAAAAAAAAAAAAUGUAAA